GACCUCAAAUCAGGUAGGAUUACCCGCUGAACUUAAGCAUAUCAAUAAGCGGAGGAAAAGAAACCAACAGGGAUUGCCUUAGUAACGGCGAGUGAAGCGGCAAAAGCUCAAAUUUGAAAUCUGGCACCUUCGGUGUCCGAGUUGUAAUUUGAAGAAGGUAACUUUGGAGUUGGCUCUUGUCUAUGUUCCUUGGAACAGGACGUCACAGAGGGUGAGAAUCCCGUGCGAUGAGAUGCCCAAUUCUAUGUAAAGUGCUUUCGAAGAGUCGAGUUGUUUGGGAAUGCAGCUCUAAGUGGGUGGUAAAUUCCAUCUAAAGCUAAAUAUUGGCGAGAGACCGAUAGCGAACAAGUACAGUGAUGGAAAGAUGAAAAGAACUUUGAAAAGAGAGUGAAAAAGUACGUGAAAUUGUUGAAAGGGAAGGGCUUGAGAUCAGACUUGGUAUUUUGCGAUCCUUUCCUUCUUGGUUGGGUUCCUCGCAGCUUACUGGGCCAGCAUCGGUUUGGAUGGUAGGAUAAUGACUAAGGAAUGUGGCUCUACUUCGGUGGAGUGUUAUAGCCUUGGUUGAUACUGCCUGUCUAGACCGAGGACUGCGUCUUUGACUAGGAUGUUGGCAUAAUGAUCUUAAGCCACCCGUCUUGAAACACGGACCAAGGAGUCUAACGUCUAUGCGAGUGUUUGGGUGUAAAACCCGUACGCGUAAUGAAAGUGAACGUAGGUGAGAGCUCUUAAGAGUGCAUCAUCGACCGAUCCUGAUGUCUUCGGAUGGAUUUGAGUAAGAGCAUAGCUGUUGGGACCCGAAAGAUGGUGAACUAUGCCUGAAUAGG
rnacentral:rRNA from 1 species